rnacentral:rRNA from 1 species
GACGAACGCUGGCGGCGUGCCUAAUACAUGCAAGUAGAGCGCACAGUUUAUACCGUAACUUGCUACACCAUAGACUGUGAGUUGCGAACGGGUGAGUAACGCGUAGGUAACCUGCCUGGUAGCGGGGGAUAACUAUUGGAAACGAUAGCUAAUGCCGCAUAAUAUUGAUUAUUGCAUGAUAAUUGAUUGAAAGAUGCUAUUGCAUCACUACCAGAUGGACCUGCGUUGUAUUAGCUAGUAGGUGAGGUAACGGCUCACCUAGGCGACGAUACAUAGCCGACCUGAGAGGGUGAUCGGCCACACUGGGACUGAGACACGGCCCAGACUCCUACGGGAGGCAGCAGUAGGGAAUCUUCGGCAAUGGACGAAAGUCUGACCGAGCAACGCCGCGUGAGUGAAGAAGGUUUUCGGAUCGUAAAGCUCUGUUGUAAGAGAAGAACGGGUGUGAGAGUGGAAAGUUCACACUGUGACGGUAUCUUACCAGAAAGGGACGGCUAACUACGUG